AAGAUAGGAGUAUCCAUUGGUGCUAGGGUGCCAGUGGGCACUGUGCCACCAUGCCUGGGGCCUUGCUUUUCCCCAGCCCCCCUUGAGCUCACCAGGCCUGAGAGAGAAGGGAGGGAGGGAGGGAAAGGGAGGCAGGAAGGAGAGGGAAGGGGGGUGCUUUUCUCAGGCCUGGGGCCCCUAGCUCUUUGUCCGGCUCCUUUUGCAUCUCAAAGCACCAGCCGCAUUCCAAGCGAGGAUUGGGUUGCCAUGACAAUAAGCACAAUGGGCUGGGGGGUGAAGUCACCCGCUUCCCAGGCUCUAGUCCACCCCCUUUUAUCCCCUGUCCUGGCACCCCACAGCCCCAGGCACCUUAAAGGGGAACCAACCCAGGUUCCUGGACUCUGGGCUCUUGGCCAUGGAAAGUCCAGCCUCUAAGCAGACCCAUUUCCCCUCCCUUCCUGUUCAUCUCCACCAACUAGGGCUACUUGUUGGAGAGAAAUGCAAAGUUGUGGACAAAGUGCUGAACCGAGGCCUGUGAAGUCAGGGCCUUGAUUUUCUCUUCUGUAAAUGAUGAUCCCUUCCAGACGGGAAAAUGGGUCAUGGAGGAGUGACUUCACCAACAUCACUCAUAGGUGCUUGUGUCCAUGGUGAGAAGGGUGAUGGAGAGAAGUGGCUGCAGUUCCCACCCAUGGAGAGGUCACUGGUGAAUCCCAGCUAAAGAGGAAGGACAGGCCCGGCCUGAGUCCCACAGGUGGGCUCAGCCCCUCUCCUUACCGAAUGUAGCCAACUUGAGGCCGGUGCAGAAGCUGCCAGCGAUAGGAGGUCUUGUCCCGCCAGCCCACAUUUCGUGGGUCUGUCCACAGCAGUCGUACCUGAUCAGGGGUGUGGCCAGUAUGCCACAGGGCAUUUCGGAGGUGCUCACCUGGGCCAGACACUGAUGUCACUGCCUAGGAGACAUUGGCAAAGACAGUGAGUCAACUGCAGAACUGGAGUGAGGGGAGACAACAGGUCGGAUUCCUCCAUUUGGAAGUGAUUGAACUGCAUAUCCCUUACAUACCAACUGCCAAGCCAGGGUCACUGUUCAUGGUCUGAACGAUUUCCAUGCCCUGGGGUUGUAUAGUAAAGAAAAAGCUGUGAUGCAGGCUUACCAUCUGAGUCCUUCUGAUUGGGAUUGGGUACCAGGCGGCAGUUAUCAGGACCAGGAGGCACAUAAUCUGGGAUGCCAUCAUUGUCAUCAUCCCCAUCACACUCAUCUCCAAGUCCAUCGUUAUCAGAGUCCAGCUGGGAGCUAUUUGGCAGCUGUGGGCAGUUGUCCUUGGUGUCCUGAUGCCCAUCCCCAUCGCUAAUCAGAAGAACAGGUUGGUGAAAGUCCUGAACUUUGUCUCCCCACCCAGAGGACAACUGGCCAGGAAAUCUGCCUGUUUCUUGUCUCACCCUCUAGUCCACACUCUGCCUAACGCUACGCCCUACCUCACAUUCCUAUUGACAUCUGCUGCAGAUCACACCCUUGUGAUGGACAAACUGCUCAGUACAGUCCCACCCACCCAGCCUCCUUGUCCUGGGCACGAGGUUUUUGCCUCCCUGAUUUGGAGUAUUGGGCCCUUACUAGAGAGCUGCCAGAUGAGACCCUCCCUUUUCCUUCCACGCCUGAAGCCUAGCUCACCUGGCAGGACACUGCACCAUUGCGUUCAAAGACACAGUGAGCAUGGAUGUGGCAGGGGCUGUGGGCUGGGCUGUGGCAGGUCCGGGCUGGGAGGCAGCCCUGGCUCUGGUUGCCCAGGAAACCCAGGCGGCAGGGACCACACUUGAAAGAGCCCUAAGAGUGGAGAGGCAGCAUCUUAGGAAGGAGGGUGAGCCCACCAGGCACCCAGGACCAGCACUGCUCCACCUGCGGGGUGUGGGCUGGGCACUCAAUUAUGCCAGGCAUAUCAGUAUCUCCUUUAGGUUCUCAUGACAACCUUUCAGGGUGGAUAACAGCCUCAGUUUUCAGAUGAGGAAGCUGAGGCUCAGAAAAGUUAAAUAACCUGCCAAAGAGCUAGCAAGAGGCAAACCAGUAUUCCAAACCAAGUCCAUGUGAACACCUAAUCUGUGUAGUGCCCUGGGGAGGAGGAAAGGCAGCAGGAAAUUUGAAGACCUGAAGGGGCAGACUUUGGGUGGAACCAGACCUAUGGUGGGUCUCCUCAGAUACAGCAGAGGACACUGGCCUCACAGUGGAAGCCGGGCAUGGUGUUGAUGCAGCUGGAGCCCGGGAAACAGGGGUCAGCGUGAGCACACUGGGGACCAGAUGAGAAGGCAGAGGGACAUUUCCUUCACCUGGAGAAGGAUGGGGAGGAGUCAGCACUUGACAUCUGCCACCCUACCCCAGAAUCAGUGCCACCCUUCGCCAGCCCACCCAAACCUGGUCUCGUAUAUCAUCCCGCAGCUCCACCAGGAUCUGGUUGAAGAGGUUUCAGGCAGCUGCCAGAGCCUGGGGCCUCCUCCCCGCUCCCCGCUUCCGCUUCAGUGUGGCCUACUCACCUAGAAUGGAGUGCAGUGCAUUGGUCACUGGAGAGGAGAAGAAAACAUAGUCAGAGGGGUGAGGUGAAGUGAAGAGAGGCCUGGUUGGUGAGAAGAAGGAAGGAAGGUUGCUUUUUUUCUCAGAUGGGCGUAUUGGAGAUUGUGGAGUCAGGUGAAAGAUUUGGAAUAACAGGGUUAGAAACCCUAGAAACAGAACUCAGAGGCUCCUCCUGGCUCACCUGCAUCCUCAAAUACGCCUUCUGUCCAGUCCUAAUCUCCAGCCCAUCGACCUCCGCUGGAGGAAUGGGGGCCAGUGCUGGAAGGCCUGCAUGUUGGUCACCCAGUUUGCAGUCCACGUAGAGAUGUAGGGCAGGGCUGGGUCUGGAGGGACCUCGGAGUCGCAGGAGAACUGUGUGUGUGCGCCCAUCAGCCAGGCCCGCUUGCUGUAGGUUCACGGCGUGGACUUUGCCAUCCUCCCGCUGGUAUCGCACCAGUACUGCCCAGGAGGGGAGAUCAAUAUGGGCGCUAUCCCCCACCCCCUGCCUCCCAGCUGAGCCUUGGAUCAACUCUGCUAGAUACCACAUCUCUAGGGCCCCUAUCCCUAAUUCUACUAUGUGGCUCUCAACACCUUGUAUUUAAUAGGUACACAAUAAAUGUUUUUGAAAUUGG